UUCUUUUCCCGCCUGGGGCGUGGCCUAGCGCAGUAUUUCCCUGGGGCCUGGGAAGGUUCUAGAUGGGUCCCAGACCAGUUCAGGGCGGGAUUAACUGGCUCCUAGCCCAGGCAAACAUACGUUUCCUCGGGGGGGGAAGCCCACCACACCACACCACACCACACCACACAGCAGUGCCCCUUUCCCCGCCACCCCCCUAGGCCUGACCCAGUGCAGGACGUUGUGGUGCUGCUUGGGUCGUGAGGGGGGCGGCCAGGCUGAACCCCAGCAGCAGGGUGACCUGCACUGGACAGCGAGGCAGGGAGCCGGGCCCAGCCCUGCGGGACAGGCUGCCGCUGCGGGGCGAAUGUGGGGGGAAAGAGCUGUCCGGCCCCCUCGAUCCCCAGGGCUUCCCUGUCGGGCGGGAGCAGGGCAGAGAAGUGCAAAUGUGUAAUGGUGGGGCAUGAAAGAAGGCAAAGUGCAGCUGGUGGGUUGCCUUAGUAAAAGAUGGGGGAACCACUGACCUGGUGUCCUGCUCCAUUCAGCUUUGGGAAAGGGACCCUGGUACCUGCUCAGGGCAGGCAAGCCCUUCCUCUCCCCCUCGCCACAGUCUGUCCUGGUCCUCUUUGUUCUGCGUGGGGUCUACUCACUAGAGUCUGCCCUGCCACAGGGUCUUUCAGCACAGGCCAUCUCCUUUGCCACUCUCGGGCCCCAUUGCUGCAGUUUAUGUCCUAAUCCCUUGUGGGCCAUCAUUUUAGCCUGGCUGUGCUGUCACAUAUGGCCCCCUCAGGCAUGCCCAGUGGUGAUAUCCUGGUGUUCUUGAGAUGCCAUCAUGCUGCUGCCAUUGCUCUUGUGCCAUGAUGCUAACUGUUUAUCUUGUUCGCUGUGCACUUUGGCAGCAUGACUUGCAAAGUUUUUCUGAAUGAUAGCAGCAGCACACUGCCAUGUUAGUGAUUCCUCCGCAGGAAUCUCUCCACUCAUGCAGUAGAAGCAUACGCUGAUGGGCAGUAGACUUGUGCAGCUGGUUUAGCUCAAAGGAUGCCCGAUAGUCCCAUCAAAAUCAAGACUGGCCUUCACAUGUCUCUCAUUCACACCUGCCUGAUGUUCAUUUCAAAGGAUAGUGGAGGCCAUCUCAAUGCUCACUAAGCUUGUGUCGGGGUGGACUAGGCCCAGAGGCCCCCUGCUGGAGGCCUCCGGGUCUCACCACACCCCGUCCCAGAGAGAAGCAGAAGAGAAGUCCUCCAAGCGGCUUAGAGUGGCUGCAGGAGUGGCCAGGAGGGCCAUGUAAAAAGGAGCAGCAGCGACAGAAUCAGUCAGUUACUGCCUGGAGCUGGAAGAGAGAGGACGGGAUUCCUGGCUGGCUGAAAGAGCAGUAGUACUACAGACAGUUCAGUCUGGGCAGGGUCCAGGAGAACUAAGAAGGAGCUCCUGGUUGGCUGCUGGGAUGGAGUCCAGAGAGAGCUGCAGGAAAACAGUGCCCCUGGAAGAGGUUUGUUCUGUUCCACUUACAGACAGUGUGUGUGACUUCUCUGGAAGGCUGAGACACUUGAAGACCUGCCAAAGAAACCAUCGACUAAGGGGAGAACUUGCGAGAGGUGGGUACCAGCCCAUUAUCACAAACCGAGAAACUGCAAGCACACGCACUUGACCAGGGGGGCACUUGUGAGAGGUGGGUGCUGACCCCAUUACACAGUCUCUAAAAUUAUGCCCAAGAUUUUUGCAUGCUCAGAAUUUCAGAUUUGUAUAAGCAAACUGUAUUUGCUGUAAUGAUUGGAAUUCUGUAUAAAAAUACCAUCUGUACAUGCAAUAAACUAUUGCAGCUGCAGUUUUAGAGGUGAGGCUGAAGCUGUUUUGAAAA